UUCAAAGGAAUGGUCUUUAAGACAAAAAUAUAUAACUGAUUUGUUUUAUCUGUCUUAGUUUAGAUUGCAAGAUGCAUUUAACUUUCUUAAUCAAUUAAUCUUAGGCAGCAUGUUGACAUCGCUAGCUUACUUACAUAUCUUAGUUUUGUUUACCUUAGUUUUUCAUCAUAUGAGUAAGUAUUUGAAAGCAGAUGAUGGAGCCCUCAAACAUUGCAGGUACUGGUUAUAGAUAGACCUGCAGUUAGAGUAUUUAGGCCUCAGCUAGACUUUGCACUUUCACUUUCAUUUCUUCUAUUUUUUUCUUUUUUCUGGUAUCUGGUCUUUGCUGUUUGAGCUUCUGCGAAUUUGAUCUCGAAAGAAAUAGUGUAGAAAUACUAUCAGUCAUGGCUUAGUAACAAUUACACAAACUUGAGUUUUAGGAAACUAAUCAAUCACAUCUUCUAACACUGAUGCAAGUCUGUUUUUAAUCUAUCCAAGAUUAUCUCCCGUCUGUAAUCUCAACUAUAUGGGAUGAAAGAUUUUGAACGUGAAAAUACUUCCAACUUUCUUAAUGGUUUCUAAUAUGGACAAGAAAAAUAAUAGCAUCUCAAAAAGCCUUACUUGCAGUUGCCAGCCAUAUUUAUUUUUGCACAUUGUAUGAUCCUACAAUCGCAAAUGGUGAAAACUUUGCUAUUUAAUCAAAAGAUUUUCAAUUAGAUUAUGAUUUAUAAUACCGGAAGAUCAAAUUUACCUUACCUUCAGGUGGUUUGCUCAAAGUUGUGUUCUCAAUUAGAUCCUCUGACUUUACAAUGCCGUAAAGCUCUUUGGUCCUGUAAAGGGUAUAAACACUCACUUGAAGUCAUUAGAUAAAGCAGAGGCAAAGGGCUAUGAGAAAUAUGGAGCAUCAGCAACAUAACAAAAAAACAUGAAUACAAGUUUUCUGUGCAAGACACUAUGAUCUUGGAGUCAAGUAUAGGAGUGGAAGCUCGCAAGAUUUGGGCUACAGGGCCCCCUAUCCUGGUGGGUUUUUGAACACUGCUGCUGAGAAUUUUAAGAAACUCUUGUGGGAAGAUUCACUGUACCUAAGGCAGAAUGAGAUUUGCGCCUCUAUGUUUCACGGUUAGUGAGGAAGCAGAAACCAUGAGAAUUAUUGAAGUUGGAUUCUUCCUUUAAUAAUCUAACGCGUCAUCCCUUUUCAGUGUACUGUUAUGAUAGACGAGAUUUCUAAUUCUUGAGUCUUGCAGUAAGGGAAGCUGAACAUUUAAUUGGGAGAUAAAAAUGAGGGAGCAACGGGCAUGUCAUACUGCCUUCAACCAUGAAGUAGUGGGAAUUUUCAGCUUUCUUAUUCAGCCUUGUGCACAGCUAUCCAAUUAUCUUAAUUACAUUCUGUUGUAUUUCAUCUUCACACUUCCUGUACAAACUUCUCAUGACACUUAAAAUGUAGCUAUAUCCUCCUUUUUGGGUUGAACAUAUUUUAUUAAUUGCAGCUCUAUGCUUAGUAGCAUCCUUCUGUAAAUUUCUUCCUUUACAAAAAUCAUAAGCUAUAUUAUAUA